rnacentral:snoRNA from 1 species
UGAGACGGUGAUGAGCUCUACAGACCUGUAAUGACUUGCGAGCAUGAUCGCAACUCUUUAUGAACAUCUAAGGGACUGAGUCUCA